CCCCACUGGGAUUGUUCCCAGUUGUGAGCAGGGGAACAAGGGUGUGCUCAAAAUGGAGAGGUGGCAUCACUCACUGCUAUUUUUACUUACAUCAUUACCAGCCUGCCUUGCUUAUCCUGCUGAGUUGUGCUGAGUCCUUUGAAUUAGCUGGAGACUCAGUGGCACACAAGGCAGAAUUAGAAGGCAUGGUAGUUUGUAGUGCAAGUGCCUCUAAGUGUCACUGUCUAGUGCAGUAUAGGUGGUGUUAAGGGCUGUUUCAUUCUGACAUUUCAGAACAAUAGUCCACUGUUCCUCAGCAUUAUUUGAAAUCUAUAUAGUUCCAAGUGAUUUGUGUGGGUGAUCUGGUUUUGUGUGAUAGUCACAGUAUCUGUCAAACUUUGUUCCCUACUUAUGAGAACAAUGAGUUAGAAUGGGAGAGAAAGAAUCUCUGAUGGGGGUCUCAUCUCUCCUGGGACUUCCUGAAUGGAAUUAUUCAAGCACAGACUACAUAAGCACUAGAGUAAGUGAUGCAAACUGGCCAUGAAUAAAUUUACAUGGCUUUCUAACCAUGUGUGAUAUCAAUUCUGACAUAACUUCCAGCUGAAUGCAGAAAGUCCUCUGCUUUCAAAGAGGAAUUUUAAAAAUGUAAGGGCGGGAUGAGAUAAGGAAAGUAGGUACAUCAGCUGCCCUACUUGCAAUGACAUCAUGUGUUGGAAUUGAUUUUUCAUGCAAUAGUCUGAAUCAUGAUGUAAAGAACAUGUCACACGGUUUCCUGGUGGACACGUUCUGUGUCAGCAAUCCCUAAAAGCAGAGCAGCAUGCACUCUGGUGGGGAGGUUCACCCUCAUCAGUGACCAGGGAAUAAGGUAUUUUUUAAGGAUGAGCGUUCUAGGUUGAACUGGGGAAGCCAGGGUUUUAAAACCAUGUUUCUGUAUUUUGGGUGAACACCUUGUGUCUUCUGUUUGGCUCAGCAGAGAGGUUCUGAGACAGUCUCUUGGGUUUGUAAGAUCUCGAAGACAAGGCAGAUAUCCAAACUUCUAUAAGAAGAACAGAAUCAGGACAUCUGGCUCACUGCAGUUACAACAUUUUUCUUUCCCCCCCCUGCUUCUUCAUACAAACAGUAUUUCCAAGGGAGAAUUCCAGGUCUAAUAAAAUGCUGUGGUAGUUAGACAAAGGCUGCUGGGUAAUAGUGCAAAGUAUGCUGCUGGCAUGAUUAACUCACCGUGAGCUCUCGU
rnacentral:lncRNA from 1 species